GACGAAGGGCGCAGGUGUUACUAGUUAUGAUUGGGUGUAAAGGGUAAGUAGGCGGCCCACCGUAGUUCUGGGCCAAAGCGCGGAGAGUUCCUACGCGAAAGCACAGUUCAAGAGGUGGGCUUGUGUUGAAAAGAGGUUGGGGCAAAUUCGUACGUAAGAGUAAAAUCUAUCGAUGUACGAAUGAACGCCAGCUGGCAAAGGCGCCUUUCCAGUUUCAACAGACGCUGAGGUACGGAAGCGUAGGGAGCAAACGGG
rnacentral:rRNA from 1 species